CUUAUCCAGAACGGCAGAGGGGACGGCCCGAUGAAGCCUAGCAACCGGUCUGGGUCUUUUUAUCAAGGACGUAGAUACGGUGCUAAUUCCGGUGCCUGGCGCUCAAACCGUCAGGCGAAAAAUGAG
rnacentral:ncRNA from 1 species